AUUGAACGCUGGCGGCAGGCCUAACACAUGCAAGUCGAGCGGAUGAAGGGAGCUUGCUCCUGGAUUCAGCGGCGGACGGGUGAGUAAUGCCUAGGAAUCUGCCUGGUAGUGGGGGAUAACGUCCGGAAACGGGCGCUAAUACCGCAUACGUCCUGAGGGAGAAAGUGGGGGAUCUUCGGACCUCACGCUAUCAGAUGAGCCUAGGUCGGAUUAGCUAGUUGGUGGGGUAAAGGCCUACCAAGGCGCCGAUCCGUAACUGGUCUGAGAGGAUGAUGAGUCACACUGGAAAUGAGACACGUUCCAGACUACUACGGGAGGCAGCAGUGGGGAAUAUUGGACAAUGGGCGAAAGCUUGAUCCAGCCAUGCCGCGUGUGUGAAGAAGGUAUUCGGAUUGUAAAGCACUUUAAGUUGGGAGGAAGGGCAGUAAGGUAAUACCUUGCUGUUGUGACGUUACCAAAAGAAUAAGCACCGGCUAACUUCGUG
rnacentral:rRNA from 1 species